rnacentral:ncRNA from 1 species
AAAAUAUUUAUAUAAAAAUAUACAACCUCAACUCAUAUGGGAUUACCACCUAAAUUUAAGCAUAUUAAUGAGGGGAGGAAAAGAAACUAACCACAAUUUUUUUAGUGGUGGCGAGCGAAAAGAAAAUAGUUCAGCACUAAGUCACUUUGUCUGUAAAGGCAAAUGUGAGAUGCAGCGUAAGGAAUGUUCAAUUCUAGUAUGAGAAAUUAGCGAUUUAAGUCCUCCUUAAAUGAGGCCAUUUACCCAAAGAGGGUGCUAGGCCUGUAUAACGUUAAUGAUUACUUGAGAACAAUUCCAAAGAGCCGUGUUGCUUGAUAGUGUAGCACUAAGUGGAUGAUAAAGUCCAUCUAAAACU